CUGGCGAUGCUUUACCAUGCAGUCGAACGGCAGCACGGGUGCUUGCACCUGGUGGCGAGUGGCGAACGGGUGAGUAAUGCGUCGGAACGUACCGAGUAAUGGGGGAUAACGCAGCGAAAGUUGUGCUAAUACCGCAUACGCCCUGAGGGGGAAAGUGGGGGACCGCAAGGCCUCACGUUAUUCGAGCGGCCGACGUCUGAUUAGCUAGUUGGUGGGGUAAAGGCCUACCAAGGCGACGAUCAGUAGCGGGUCUGAGAGGAUGAUCCGCCACACUGGGACUGAGACACGGCCCAGACUCCUACGGGAGGCAGCAGUGGGGAAUUUUGGACAAUGGGGGCAACCCUGAUCCAGCCAUUCCGCGUGAGUGAAGAAGGCCUUCGGGUUGUAAAGCUCUUUCAGCAGGAACGAAACGGUACGCUCUAACAUAGUGUGCUAAUGACGGUACCUGCAGAAGAAGCACCGGCUAACUACGUGCCAGCAGCCGCGGUAAUACGUAGGGUGCGAGCGUUAAUCGGAAUUACUGGGCGUAAAGCGUGCGCAGGCGGAUUGUUAAGCAAGAUGUGAAAUCCCCGGGCUUAACCUGGGAAUGGCAUUUUGAACUGGCAGUCUAGAGUGUGUCAGAGGGGGGUGGAAUUCCACGUGUAGCAGUGAAAUGCGUAGAGAUGUGGAGGAACACCAAUGGCGAAGGCAGCCCCCUGGGAUAACACUGACGCUCAUGUACGAAAGCGUGGGUAGCAAACAGGAUUAGAUACCCUGGUAGUCCACGCCCUAAACGAUGUCAACUGGUUGUUGGGGGGGAGUGAAAUCCCUUUAGUACGAA
rnacentral:rRNA from 1 species